ACCCCCAGAGGACCUCACUCCCGGAGGCCCGAACUGCUGAGUUCCCACCCAACCGAACGGACACAGAAAGAAUCUGCCCGGCCCGGCCCCGCCCCCGGCCCCUGGAUUCCUCUGGGGGCUGGGCGGGAGGCUGCGGCCGAAAGGCGAAAGAGAGGCUCUUGGCCGCCUCUCCCCUCCUCGCCGUGCUCAGCCAGGUUGUAGAGUACUUGUGGAUUGUGGGACGUCCAGGCUGGUCCGGGUUAAGGCCGUAAGGGGUGCCCCCAGCCAGGGACUUUUAACCCUGUCUUCGUCCCUCUUAAGUCCUCCAAGUGAGACGGUCCUCGGGGCUCUGCUGAUUGCUGAGGUUCCGAGAUGCAGGGGUUUGGUUGGGCCUGGCAGAUAGCAGCUCCUGUUGCAAGAGCUCCUCGCACCCCUUUCCUGUAUCUGUCAGCUAACGGGGUUAGCCAGUUCCUUCACUGGUGAACGUCAGCGCCUGCUUACCCAGACCGCGGUGGUCAGUCGCUAAGGGUGGCCUGUUGAUGGCACUGAGAGAUGCUAUAAACACCAGGUGUGUGAGGCCGCUCCGGUAUAAUGUCGCAUAGUGUUUUACAAACAAAUUUAACACUGGCCAGAACAAGAGCUCUAAGAAGCUGGGAAGAUGGGCCCCAGAGUACAGGGGAGAACAAUUCUGCAGACACAAGAGAACCCUGGGACCUGGGUGUGGUGGUGCACACCUGUCAUCCUAGCUACUUGGACAGCUGAGGCAGGAGGAUCACAAGUUUGAGCCCAGCUUGAGCAACUUAGUGAGACCCUGUCUCAAAAAAUGCAAAAGGGCUAGGAUGUAGCUCAGGGCUAGAGUGGUUGUCUGGCAUGUACAAGGCCUUGACUUUAAUCCUCAGUACUGAAAGAAAAAAAAAAAAAAAGAGCUCUACAGGAAGUUUAAAACCAUCAAGAUACAUAAAAGUAUAACUUUAUUGUUAUCUGCAUUCGCCCUACUGUGCAAUAAUAGCAUCCCAGAACUUCUUACUACUAUCCACCUGUAACUUAGUCCUCCAGGAUUUAUCUCACCUAUAAACAUUUUGAGAAGACCAAACAAAUACACAUGCAAUAUCAUCCAAAGGCAAUUGCAUAUUUUGUUUGGUUUUUUUUUUUAUUUUGGUACUGGGAAUCGAACUCAGGACCUUAUGCUUGUGAGGCAGGCGGCGGAACCACUGAGCUAAAUCCCCGGCCCGGCAAUUGCAUAUUUUAUUACUCUAUUGCAUAUCAAAAAAAUAAAGACAAAUUAAAAUUAC
rnacentral:lncRNA from 1 species